AGCGUGGAGACAGGUGGUGCAUGGCUGUCGUCAGCUCGUGUCGUGAGAUGUUGGGUUAAGUCCCGCAACGAGCGCAACCCUCACCCCUUGUUGCCAUCAGGUCAUGCUGGGCACUCUAGGGGAACUGCCCCGGUCAACGGGGAGGAAGGCGGGGAUGACGUCAAGUCAUCAUGCCCCUUACGUCCUGGGCUACACACGUGCUACAAUGGCCGGUACAAAGGGAUGCCACACCGCGAGGUAGAGCUAAACCCAAAAAGCCGGUCUAAGUUCAGAUUGGAGUCUGCAACUCGACUCCAUGAAGGAGGAAUCGCCAGUAAUCGCGUAUCAGCACGACGCGGUGAAUACGUUCCCGGGCCUUGUACACACCGCCCGUCACACCACGAAAGCCAGCUGUACUCGAAGUCGCUGAG
rnacentral:rRNA from 1 species